CCUACGGGCGGCAGCAGUGAGGAAUAUUGGUCAAUGGACGAGAGUCUGAACCAGCCAAGUAGCGUGAAGGAUGACUGCCCUAUGGGUUGUAAACUUCUUUUAUAUGGGAAUAAAACGUUCCACGUGUGGGAUUUUGUCUGUACCAUAUGAAUAAGGAUCGGCUAACUCCGUGCCAGCAGCCGCGGUAAUACGGAGGAUCCGAGCGUGAUCCGGAUUUAUUGGGUUUAAAGGGAGCGUAGGUGGAUUGUUAAGUCAGUUGUGAAAGUUUGCGGCUCAACCGUAAAAUUGCAGUUGAAACUGGCAGUCUUGAGUGCAGGAGAGGUGGGCGGAAUUCGUGGUGUAGCGGUGAAAUGCUUAGAUAUCACGAAGAACUCCGAUUGCGAAGGCAGUUCACUGGACUGCAACUGACACUGAGGCUCGAAAGUGUGGGUAUCAAACAGGAUUAGAUACCCUUGUAGUC
rnacentral:rRNA from 1 species